GGGGUCGUGGUAUAACCUGGCAGCACAACAGGCUCCAGACCUGUGGAUGCGAGUUCGAAUCUCGCCGACCCCA
rnacentral:tRNA from 1 species